UACGUAGGGGGCAAGCGUUGUCCGGAUUCACUGGGCGUAAAGCGCGUGUAGGCGGCCUCUCAAGUCGGGCGUGAAAGCCCGGGGCUCAACCCCGGGAUGCCGCUCGAAACUGGGAGGCUUGAGGACGGAAGAGGGGAGUGGAAUUCCUGGUGUAGCGGUGAAAUGCGUAGAGAUCAGGAGGAACACCCGUGGCGAAGGCGGCUCCCUGGUCCGUUACUGACGCUGAGACGCGAAAGCGCGGGGAGCGAACGGG
rnacentral:rRNA from 1 species